UGCACAAAACAUAUGCUUAAGAGUAUAAAAAUAUAGGGUUAUCAACUCCCCCAAACUUAUUAUUUGCUUGGCCUCAAGCAAAUUCAAAGUAGGGAGAGAGUUUUGAAGGUGGGGACUCAGAACCAAAACUUGCUGCAAAAGAGUUUAACAUCAAUGUCCUAGUUCGUAAUUCUAGAAUGCAAUUCAAAGGCUGUACUCUGAAGACUUUAGCCAUUCCUAUUUCAACACAAGAUGUCAUCAGCCACAUAACCUAGACAAGCAAUCAAGUCAGCCAUCCUUUUUAACAUUCAUUAAGUAGUAACAGUGAAUCCGGAUGUGGAUUUGAAUUUAAACUC
rnacentral:lncRNA from 1 species